rnacentral:rRNA from 1 species
GACGAACGCUGGCGGCGUGCCUAAUACAUGCAAGUAGAACGCAGUUGCGAACGGGUGAGUAACGCGUAGGUAACUGCCUCAUAGCGGGGGAUAACUAUUGGAAACGAUAGCUAAUACCGCAUACUGUGAGAUGGACCUGCGUUGUAUUAGCUAGUUGGUGAGGUAAAGGCUCACCAAGGCGCCGAUACAUAGCCGACCUGAGAGGUGGAUCGGCCACGCUGGAAAUGAGACAACGGCAAGAAUACUACGGUAGGCAGCAGUAGGGAAUCUUCGGCAAUGGGCGGAAGGCGGAGCGAGCAACGCCGCGUGAGGGAAGAAGGUUUUCGGAUCGGAAAGAUCUGUUGUUAGAGAAGCGGUAACUAACGAGAAAGGGACGGCUAACUACGUGCCAGCCGCCGCGGUAAUAC